UACGAAGGGUGCAAGCGUUACUCGGAAUUACUGGGCGUAAAGCGUGCGUAGGUGGUUUGUUAAGUCUGUUGUGAAAGCCCCGGGCUCAACCUGGGAAUGGCAAUGGAUACUGGCAGGCUAGAGUGCGGUAGAGGGUAGUGGAAUUCCCGGUGUAGCGGUGAAAUGCGUAGAGAUCGGGGAGGAACACCCGUGGCGAAGGCGGCCACCUGGGCCGACCCUGACGCUGAGGCGCGAAGGCGUGGGGAGCGAACGGG
rnacentral:rRNA from 1 species